rnacentral:SRP_RNA from 1 species
GCCUGUAAUCCAAGCUGCUGGGAGGCUGAGGCUGGCGGAUCGCUUGAGUUCAGGGGUUCUGGGCUGCAGUGGACUAUGUCGAUCGGGCUAAGUUCGUAAGUUCGGUAUCGAUAUGGUGCUCCUGGGGGAGCUCGGGACCACCAGGUCGUCUAAGGAUGGGUGAACCUCGGAGACGGGGAGACGGAGCAGGUCGAAGCCCCCGUGUCGAUCAGUAGUGGGGUCGCGCCUGUGAAUAGACCCUGCAGUGCAGCCUGAGCGAUACAGCGAGACUCAGGCUUU